CCUACGGGUGGCAGCAGUGGGGAAUAUUGGGCAAUGGACGCAAGUCUGACCCAGCAACGCCGCGUGAAGGAAGAAGGCUUUCGGGUUGUAAACUUCUUUUAAGGGGGAAGAGCAGAAGACGGUACCCCUUGAAUAAGCCACGGCUAACUACGUGCCAGCAGCCGCGGUAAUACGUAGGUGGCAAGCGUUAUCCGGAUUUACUGGGUGUAAAGGGCGUGUAGGCGGGACUGCAAGUCAGAUGUGAAAAUUAUGGGCUCAACCCAUAACCUGCAUUUGAAACUGUAGUUCUUGAGUGAUGGAGAGGCAGGCGGAAUUCCGUGUGUAGCGGUGAAAUGCGUAGAUAUACGGAGGAACACCAGUGGCGAAGGCGGCCUGCUGGACAUUAACUGACGCUGAGGCGCGAAAGCGUGGGGAGCAAACAGGAUUAGAUACCCCAGUAGUC
rnacentral:rRNA from 1 species